AAUGAACGCUGGCGGCAGGCCUAACACAUGCAAGUCGAGCGAGGACUUCGGUCCUAGCGGCGGACGGGUGAGUAACGCGUGGGAAUAUGCCCUUUGGUACGGAAUAGCCUCGGGAAACUGGGAGUAAUACCGUAUGUGCCCUUCGGGGGAAAGAUUUAUCGCCAAAGGAUUAGCCCGCGUUGGAUUAGGUAGUUGGUGGGGUAAUGGCCUACCAAGCCGACGAUCCAUAGCUGGUUUGAGAGGAUGAUCAGCCACACUGGGACUGAGACACGGCCCAGACUCCUACGGGAGGCAGCAGUGGGGAAUCUUAGACAAUGGGCGCAAGCCUGAUCUAGCCAUGCCGCGUGAUCGAUGAAGGCCUUAGGGUUGUAAGAUCUUUCAGAUGGGAAGAUAAUGACUGUACCAUCAGAAGAAGCCCCGGCUAACUCCGUG
rnacentral:rRNA from 1 species